rnacentral:tRNA from 1 species
GGAAGUAGUUCAGUGGUAGAACAUCACCUUGCCAAGGUGGGGGUCGCGGGUUCGAACCCCGUCUUCCGCUCCA